rnacentral:rRNA from 1 species
UACGUAGGGUCCGAGCGUUGUCCGGAAUUAUUGGGCGUAAAGGGCUCGUAGGCGGUUUGUCGCGUCGGUAGUGAAAACUCAGGGCUCAACCCUGAGCGUGCUUCCGAUACGGGCAGACUAGAGGUAUCCAGGGGAGAACGGAAUUCCUGGUGUAGCGGUGGACUGCGCAGAUAUCAGGAGGAACACCGGUGGCGAAGGCGGUUCUCUGGGCAUUACCUGACGCUGAGGAGCGAAAUCAUGGGGAUCGAA